rnacentral:rRNA from 1 species
UACGUAGGGGGCAAGCGUUGUCCGGAAUUAUUGGGCGUAAAGCGCGCGCAGGCGGUCAUUUAAGUCUGGUGUAUAAACCAAGGGCUCAACCUUUGGACGCAUUGGAAACUGGUUGACUGGAGUGUAGGAGAGGAAAGUGGAAUUCCACGUGUAGCGGUGAAAUGCGUAGAGAUGUGGAGGAACACCAGUGGCGAAGGCGACUUUCUGGCCUAUAACUGACGCUGAGGCGCGAAAGCGUGGGGAGCAAACAGG